UCUUCUUCGUCUCACUUCUUCUGUUGAAUUCGCGUGUGAGAGAGAGAGAGAGAGACGAAUGAGAGUGAUAGAAAUUCGUGAAUCUUGUUGUGGAGAAUUGAUGAAUUCUGAUAUUGCAGAGUGAUGGAGGUCGAGUUGUGAGGUUGAGAGAGAGCUUGUGAUUUCUGAUACGUAAUGCUUGAAUGAUUGAAAAGCUUCUGAGUUUAUUCAUUUGCAGAAUGAUGUGUGAUAUAUAUAGAUCGAAGAACUCACAACGUUAAUACUCUGUUAAUCUUUUGUAGUUCAAGACAGUUGGAGAUCCGAUUCCGUUAGUGACUCUGUUAGCAUGAAGCGGUUAGGUUGGAUGUGUUAUGACUUUCUGUCAGCCUUUAGUUACCGAUAGUUAGUUAAACUUUGAACUGCUAAACCAUUACAGGAUAGUAUUAAUUCUACAGGUUAAAAUUUGAUGCAGCUUGGUUGCAGGACGGUGCGGCCGGAUUGUGUGAUGGAUGAAAGAAAACAAGUCUAUUUGAAUGUAAAAUUAGGAGUUAGGAUUUGGGAAUUGAAUUUGUUAGAAGUAUUGAUGUAUAAAUUUUGAACAAGUUAUAUAUCAUAGAAAAAUUGAAUGUAAAAAAUUGGGUUGUGACAUGAAUACAAUUUGAAUAGAAACUUUAUUAAAAAUAUGAAAAUGGAUUGAAAUGGUUGAAUGUUUUGAUUUGGAAAAAGAACCUGAGUUAUGGUUGGAUUAUGUAAUGAAUUAAUGUUGUAUGGAGAGUUAAUUAUGAAUGAAAGUUUGAAUGGUGUAUUGAUUGUA